rnacentral:rRNA from 1 species
CUACGUGCCAGCAGCCGCGGUAAUACGGAGGGUGCGAGCGUUAAUCGGAAUAACUGGGCGUAAAGGGCACGCAGGCGGUGACUUAAGUGAGGUGUGAAAGCCCCGGGCUUAACCUGGGAAUUGCAUUUCAUACUGGGUCGCUAGAGUACUUUAGGGAGGGGUAGAAUUCCACGUGUAGCGGUGAAAUGCGUAGAGAUGUGGAGGAAUACCGAAGGCGAAGGCAGCCCCUUGGGAAUGUACUGACGCUCAUGUGCGAAAGCGUGGGGAGCAAACAGGAUUAGAUACCCUGGUAGUCCACGCUGUAAACGAUGUCGAUUUGGGGGUUGAGCUUUAAGUUUGGCGCCCGUAGCUAACGUGAUAAAUCGACCGCCUGGGGAGUACGGCCGCAAGGUUAAAACUCAAAUGAAUUGACGGGGGCCCGCMCAAGCGGUGGAGCAUGUGGUUUAAUUCGAUGCAACGCGAAGAACCUUACCUACUCUUGACAUCCAGAGAACAUUC